rnacentral:lncRNA from 1 species
UCUCAAGCUGCUCCUAAGACCAAGAACCUGGCUUCUCUCUGAUACCCAAUGCGCAAGUCAGUGGCAUCACAUCCGGGCCACCUGGCGCUUCUAUGAAAGGACAAGAAUGAACAUAAUGAGAAUGGGCCAUCUACAAGCUGGGAAUAAGAAACUGACCCUCCAGUCCUUUAUCUGUGACUUUUAGUCUCCAAAACUGUGAAAAAAAAUAAUUUCUGUUGUUUCAGCUAAAUAAUCCAUGCCAUUUUGUUAUGGAAGCCAAAGCUGACUAAAACAUAACCACAGGUUAUAAAACUUUUCUUCUGUUUUCUCCUAGAAAAAAAGUAUUUUUGACAUUUAGGGCUAUGAUUCAUUUUGAGUUACAUUUUUGUAUGGGGCAAGGUAUGUGCAAUGGUUAGUUUUAUGUGUUAGCUUUUCUAGGCUAUAGUACUCAGUUGUGUGGUCAAACACUAGCCUAGCUGUUGCUGUGAAGGUAUUUUGUACAUGUGAUCAACAUUUACAAUCGAUUUUAAGUAAAGCAGUUUACCUCCAUAACGUGGGUGCGCCUCAUCCAAUCAGUUGAAGGUCUUAAAAGACCGAGGUUUCCUGGAGAAGGAAUUCUACCACAAGAUUGGAACGUAAAAACGCUGUGUCAGUUUCUAGCCUGCUGCCCUGUCCUACAGAUUUUGGAUGUAUCAGACCUCAUAGUCACCUGAGACAAUUCCUUAAAAUAUCUUUCUUUCUCUCUCUCCCUUUAUAGAUAGAUAGAUAGAGUAUGGAUUGAAAUUUAGUUUUGCAUAUGGAUAUCCAAUUGUUUCAGAUCAAAUUGUUGAAUAUACUAUCAUUUCUUUCCUCUAAUCUUCAUUUGCAUCUUUAUCAAUAAUUAGUUGUCUAUAUAUACAUAUACAUGUGGAUCCACUCCUGGACUUUAUUCUCUUCCAUUGAUAUACUGCUAUAAUUAUGACAGUUCCACACUAUACUGAUCAUUGCGAGUUUAUAAGCCUUGAAAUGAAGUAGGGUAACUCCCCCAACUUUGUUCUAUUUUUUAGUUUUCUUUGACUAUUCUAGGGCCUUUGCACAUCUAUAUGAAUGUUAGAGUCAGUCUCUCAAUUUAUAUUUUAAAAAUCCUGGAAUUUUGAUUUUUAUUGCAUUGAAUAUGUCAAAAACUUUGAGGGCAA